rnacentral:rRNA from 1 species
GGGCGAAAGCCUGAUGGAGCGACGCCGCGUGGAGGAUGACGAUCUUCGGUGCGUAAACUCCUUUUAUGUGAGAAGAAUUUCUGACGGUACUCAUAUGAAUAAGCGCCGGCUAACUCCGUGCCAGCAGCCGCGGUAAUACAGAGGGUGCAAGCGUUACUCGGAAUCACUGGGCGUAAAGAGCGCGUAGGCGGGUAUUUAAGUUGGAAGUGAAAUCCUAUGAGCUCAACCUAUAGAAGCUGCUUCCGAAACUGAUUACCUACAAUAUGGUAGAGGNAGAUGGAAUUUCUGGU